rnacentral:pre_miRNA from 1 species
AAAAAGACAAACUCUAGAUUUCCGUGUCCAACUUUGACUAUUCGUCUUAUAUAAAUUUUUUUUAUAAUUUAUAUUUUCAUUGUUGUUAGAUGAUAAAACAUGAUUAAUAUUUUAUGCGUGACUUGUCUUUUUAAUUUUUUUUAUAAUUUUUUCAAAUAAGACGGAUGGUCAAACGUUGAACACGGAAACCAGGGUUUAUCUUUUU